rnacentral:rRNA from 1 species
UACGAAGGGGGCUAGCGUUGCUCGGAUUGACUGGGCGUAAAGGGCGCGUAGGCGGUUUGUACAGUCAGACGUGAAAUUCCUGGGCUCAACCUGGGGGCUGCGUUUGAUACGUGCGAGCUUGAGUUCGGAAGAGGGUCGUGGAAUUCCCAGUGUAGAGGUGAAAUUCGUAGAUAUUGGGAAGAACACCGGUGGCGAAGGCGGCGACCUGGUCCGAUACUGACGCUGAGGCGCGAAAGCGUGGGGAGCAUACAGG